UGCAUUUACUACUGUAAGUCGCUCUGGAUAAGAGCGUCUGCUAAAUGACCCAAA
rfam:Salmo salar isolate Sally breed double haploid chromosome ssa12, whole genome shotgun sequence.